UACGGAGGGUGCGAGCGUUGUCCGGAAUCACUGGGCGUAAAGGGCGCGUAGGCGGCCUGAUAAGUAGGGGGUGAAAUCCUGCGGCUUAACCGCAGGGCUGCCUUCUAAACUGUCAGGCUCGAGCACAGUAGAGGCAGGUGGAAUUCCCGGUGUAGCGGUGGAAUGCGUAGAGAUCGGGAAGAACAUCGGUGGCGAAGGCGCUCUACCGGACCACAACUGACACUCAGGGACGAAAGCUAGGGGAGCGAAUGGG
rnacentral:rRNA from 1 species